UUGUACGAACUAUUCGAAACUCACGAAGUUCUCGAAUUGCGUUCCCAAGAGAAAUGGUAAUAGACGCGUGAAGGUGUUCUAAAGAAGGGCGCAGCAGGCGUGAGAGACUCAAAGCAUACUCUGGCUUGUCAAAGUACGAAUGAGAGUUACACAUUGCCGCGGAUGUUACAUUAGUACUACUUUCCUGUUAAAAGAUACGUGCUUACAUACUUAACCGAUACACACGCAGGAAGUAGAGAUGUGUGCGAAACGAAUAUACACCGGAAGGUAAAUGUAAGCUAUGUAGUUAUGUCUAUCUAUAAUCACCUAUUCUAGGUUCUUUACCGUAUUUCCACUGAAAGACAAAUUCCGUAUGUAUUUAGACUUGUCAGAGAGAAAUAACACAACUAUCUGUAUCAAGAUAAAAAGGUUUCAUUUGCUUUUAAAAUACAACAAAAUCGAAAUUGUCGGAUAAUCCGCCAGACUAUUAGCAAUUUAUGUAUUCGUCGUUGUUCUACAAACAUAUUUACAAAGGUUCAAUGCCCGUGUGUUUUAUUAUUUAAUGCUGAAUAUUCAAACACUGGCUAGUUUAAAACUCUUGCAAGCGAGGAAGUUAAAUUUGGCGUACGAUUCCAUAAUACGAUAUAAAGAAGCUUACGGGAGAAAUUUGCAUUCCUAUAGUAGCACGUAGAAUGAAAGAAUGGGAUAAGCACGCUAAAAGAUACUUUCGAGCGACAGGUAGUGAAUGGGGUGUGUAUUUUCCGACGCGUGCUUUGCGUUUAUACCUUGUAAAAAGAAGGAAGUAAGGAUGUGCAUCGACGGGUAAUUUACAACUUGUGCCACUCUUCCGGGAAUUUUACGACAAAUAUUUAACGAUUCACAUCGCCACGUACGCAGGCGUGCGCAAGGAUAUACGCAAAUAUAUGGACGAGUAGUAUAGUUUAACUAGUACGGUCUGAACGAUCACUCGCAACAGCGUGUUCUCAUUAAAGACCGAAACACAAUAUCAGGGAAUAGAAUAAUUUUUCGAUGUUAUAUUAGGUCUUGUCUCGAUAUUAUAUUAUUAGCGUAUCAAAAUUCGAUAGAAAAAUUGCUUAAUAAAUUAGACGAUACGCCUGGUUCGUGUCGACCAUCUCCAAACACCGUAUUUCAAGAAAAUUACGUUUCUAUUGUUUUCUAUAUAUUAUUUUCGUUUAUUAUAUUUCGAUAUAGCCAAUAAAAAAGAUCGAUGUUUUUAAGCUCAUAAAACUAUGGGCCUCGACUCAAGCGCCAUUACGUACGAACAUUGACUACAUAAGGGCAUUGCUUUUCGCGUGGUUUACAAACUAUGAUGUCAUAAUACUAGUACUGGUAAAUAGUUGAUGUGACAGGUUCACGCGAGUGACUGAUAAAAAUCGAAACGCCAUGCGCUCGCGUUGUAUGCUAUAUCCCAGUCGCUCCACCCUAAACGCAUACCGAGCUCAUUAUACGUCGGCACGCGUAUGAAGUGGGUUUCAAACACGGAAGUCUUUGUCCUGUGUAGCUAUGUACGACAAAAACUGUUCUAUGGGCACAAGGCCCUAAAGAAAGUUCCAGGGUUGAAGCGCAUUUUGGUCACAUGGUUGGCUACAUGGCCUAUGAAACGACGUCCGUGGCCAGGACGUCAUAAAAGAAAAAACCUUGGGACUUCGGGAAAAGCGCAAGGGCCAUCGACAAGAAAAAGAAAGCUGUUUCCCUAUACCCGAAGAAAACUUUCUUCUCUGGGGACCUUGACACCCUAUAAAAAAGGGAAACGAAGAAAGCUCGUAACAGAGAGUGCGAGGCAACAAUCCGAGUUGGGCCUGGGCAGCACACGCUAGUAACAUUAAUAAACGCCGAGUAUUCUUUUGGCACCCUUCACGAAGUACACCUCAUUCAAUUGGGCAGUAAAUAUCAAAAGAUAAUUUGAAAUAAAUUCGUAUAAUGAAUUCGAAAAGAACGAUGUAGUACCUUAUAUGCGAAAUAAAAUACAUAUAUGUAUGUAGGUAUAUACCUAAAUUUAAAUACACUGGUCCUUUAAUUUA